rnacentral:rRNA from 1 species
AAAAUUAUAUAAUAUCAUAUUUGAUACGUUAUAUAUAAUGGUAAAAUAUGGUGAUAAUUGCGUAUGAAUUAUAAUAUUAUUUAUUUUGAGGCCAUUAAAGGUUGGGUAUUAAGUAGGAUUAGAUACCCUAUUAAACUAAUCCUCAAAUAUAAUUUACUUGAGUAGUAAACAGUUAUGAUCUCGAAACUUAAAAGAAUUGGCGGUAAUCAAUUUCUAAUUAGAGGAGCCUGCACUAUAAGCGAUAUUCCUCGACUAUCUAUCUUUAUCUUGCAAAUUCAGUUCAUAUACCGCCAUCAGUUGAUAAUUCUAAAAAGAAAGUAUCUAAAUUACUUUGAGUUAAUACGUUAGGUCAAGGUGUGAUUUAUGAUAAAGUAAGAUGUGGGCUACAAUAAUUAAUUUAUAUGGAUAUUAUAUGGAAUCAUAUAUUUGAAGGCGGAUUUAAUAGUAAUAAAAGUUUACUAAACUUUUAUGAUAUAGCUCUUGAUUAUGUACACAUCGCCCGUCGCCCUCGCUUC